rnacentral:rRNA from 1 species
GAUGAACGCUGGCGGCGUGCCUAAUACAUGCAAGUCGAGCGAACAGACGAGGAGCUUGCUCCUCUGACGUUAGCGGCGGACGGGUGAGUAACACGUGGAUAACCUACCUAUAAGACUGGGAUAACUUCGGGAAACCGGAGCUAAUACCGGAUAAUAUAUUGAACCGCAUGGUUCAAUAGUGAAAGACGGUUUUGCUGUCACUUAUAGAUGGAUCCGCGCCGCAUUAGCUAGUUGGUAAGGUAACGGCUUACCAAGGCAACGAUGCGUAGCCGACCUGAGAGGGUGAUAGGCCACACGGGAACUGAGACACGGUCCAGACUCCUACGGGAGGCAGCAGUAGGGAAUCGUACGCAAUGGGCGAAAGCCUGACGGAGCAACGCCGCGUGAGUGAUGAAGGUCUUCGGAUCGUAAAACUCUGUUAUUAGGGAAGAACAAAUGUGUAAGUAACUAUGCACGUCUUGACGGUACCUAAUCAGAAAGCCACGGCUAACUACGUG